rnacentral:rRNA from 1 species
UACAGAGGUCCCGAGCGUUGUUCGGAUUCACUGGGCGUAAAGGGUGCGUAGGUGGUUGGGUAAGUUUGAUGUGAAAGCUCAGGGCUUAACCCUGAAAUGGCAUUGAAUACUACUUAACUGGAGGUUUGGAGGGGGGACUGGAAUUCUUGGUGUAGCAGUGAAAUGCGUAGAUAUCAAGAGGAACACCAGUGGCGAAGGCGAGUCCCUGGACAACACCUGACACUGAGGCACGAAAGCUAGGGGAGCAAACAGGA